rnacentral:pre_miRNA from 1 species
AGUGGGAUAGCUGGGUCAAAUGGUGGUUCCAUUCCAAGUUUUCCAAGGAAUCCUCGAUAUUGUUUUCCAGAUUGGUUGCAUCAAUUUGCAGUCCCACCAGCAAU